GCAUGUAUAAAUCCUCAUUUAAGGCAAAGGACAGCCAGUCAUCUUCUGGGCUGUGGUGACAACCCUCUGGAGAGCUUUCCUGUCUGUGACUGUGCAGCUGGAAAACCACACACAUAAACAGUAGGUCAGAAUGCUCUAUGGAGCAGCGAUA